UAGGGAAUCUUCCGCAAUGGGCGAAAGCCUGACGGAGCAACGCCGCGUGAGUGAUGAAGGUCUUCGGAUCGUAAAACUCUGUUAUUAGGGAAGAACAAAUGUGUAAGUAACUAUGCACGUCUUGACGGUACCUAAUCAGAAAGCCACGGCUAACUACGUGCCAGCAGCCGCGGUAAUACGCAGGUGGCAAGCGUUAUCCGGAAUUAUUGGGCGUAAAGCGCGCGUAGGCGGUUUUUUAAGUCUGAUGUGAAAGCCCACGGCUCAACCGUGGAGGGUCAUUGGAAACUGGAAAACUUGAGUGCAGAAGAAGAAGGUGGAAUUCCAGGUGUAGCGGUGGAAUGCGCAGAGAUAUGGAGGAACAACAGUGGCGGAGGCGACUUUCUGGUCUGUAUCUGACGCUGAUGUGCGAAAGCGGGGGGAUCAAACAGG
rnacentral:rRNA from 1 species